rnacentral:rRNA from 1 species
UUGAAGAGUUUGAUCAUGGCUCAGAUUGAACGCUGGCGGCAGGCCUAACACAUGCAAGUCGAACGGUAACAGGAAGCAGCUUGCUGCUUUGCUGACGAGUGGCGGACGGGUGAGUAAUGUCUGGGAAACUGCCUGAUGGAGGGGGAUAACUACUGGAAACGGUAGCUAAUACCGCAUAACGUCGCAAGACCAAAGAGGGGGACCUUCGGGCCUCUUGCCAUCAGAUGUGCCCAGAUGGGAUUAGCUUGUUGGUGGGGUAACGGCUCACCAAGGCGACGAUCCCUAGCUGGUCUGAGAGGAUGACCAGCCACACUGGAACUGAGACACGGUCCAGACUCCUACGGGAGGCAGCAGUGGGGAAUAUUGCACAAUGGGCGCAAGCCUGAUGCAGCCAUGCCGCGUGUAUGAAGAAGGCCUUCGGGUUGUAAAGUACUUUCAGCGGGGAGGAAGGUGCUGUGGUUAAUAACCGCAGCAAUUGACGUUACCCGCAGAAGAAGCACCGGCUAACUCCGUGCCAGCAGCCGCGGUAAUACGGAGGGUGCAAGCGUUAAUCGGAAUUACUGGGCGUAAAGCGCACGCAGGCGGUCUGUUAAGUCAGAUGUGAAAUCCCCGGGCUCAACCUGGGAACUGCAUCUGAUACUGGCAGGCUUGAGUCUCGUAGAGGGGGUAGAAUUCCAGGUGUAGCGGUGAAAUGCGUAGAGAUCUGGAGGAAUACCGGUGGCGAAGGCGGCCCCCUGGACGAAGACUGACGCUCAGGUGCGAAAGCGUGGGGAGCAAACAGGAUUAGAUACCCUGGUAGUCCACGCCGUAAACGAUGUCGACUUGGAGGUUGUGCCCUUGAGGCGUGGCUUCCGGAGCUAACGCGUUAAGUCGACCGCCUGGGGAGUACGGCCGCAAGGUUAAAACUCAAAUGAAUUGACGGGGGCCCGCACAAGCGGUGGAGCAUGUGGUUUAAUUCGAUGCAACGCGAAGAACCUUACCUGGUCUUGACAUCCACGGAAGUUUUCAGAGAUGAGAAUGUGCCUUCGGGAGCCGUGAGACAGGUGCUGCAUGGCUGUCGUCAGCUCGUGUUGUGAAAUGUUGGGUUAAGUCCCGCAACGAGCGCAACCCUUAUCCUUUGUUGCCAGCGGUUAGGCCGGGAACUCAAAGGAGACUGCCAGUGAUAAACUGGAGGAAGGUGGGGAUGACGUCAAGUCAUCAUGGCCCUUACGACCAGGGCUACACACGUGCUACAAUGGCAUAUACAAAGAGAAGCGACCUCGCGAGAGCAAGCGGACCUCAUAAAGUAUGUCGUAGUCCGGAUUGGAGUCUGCAACUCGACUCCAUGAAGUCGGAAUCGCUAGUAAUCGUGGAUCAGAAUGCCACGGUGAAUACGUUCCCGGGCCUUGUACACACCGCCCGUCACACCAUGGGAGUGGGUUGCAAAAGAAGUAGGUAGCUUAACCUUCGGGAGGGCGCUUACCACUUUGUGAUUCAUGACUGGGGUGAAGUCGUAACAAGGUAACCGUAGGGGAACCUGCGGUUGGAUCACCUCCUU